AGAGUUGAUCAUGGCGUCAGGAUGAACGCUGGCGGCGUGCCUAAUACAUGCAAGUCGGACGGAUGAUCUAUCAUCAGUGGCGAACGGGUGAGUAACACAUAGGUAACCUGCCUCCAGGCGGGGGGACAACAGCUGGAAACGGCUGCUAAUACCGCAUAGGGACACUGACCGCAUGAUCGGUGUCUUAAAGAUCCUUCUGGAUCACCUGGAGAUGGACCUAUGGCGCAUUAGCUUGUUGGCGGGCAGCGGCCACCAAGGCGACGAUGCGUAGCCGGCCUGAGAGGGCGGACGGCCACACUGGGACUGAGACACGGCCCAGACUCCUACGGGAGGCAGCAGUAGGGAAUUUUCGGCAAUGGGGGGAACCCUGACCGAGCAACGCCGCGUGAAACCGAAGAAGGUCUUCGGAUCGUAAAGUUCUGUUAUGAAGGAAGAACGGCGCCUGGAGGAGAAAGCCGGGCGUAUGACGGUACUUCAUGAGGAAGCCACGGCUAACUACGUGCCAGCCGCAGC
rnacentral:rRNA from 1 species